GUAAUAAGUGUUUUAUGGCACUUUUUAAAUCCAUAUCCACCUUGUGUGCAAUGUCGGUCGAUCUUCUUCUAUGAGGAUCGACCAAACAUCAACCUUUAUCUUUUAACUCUUUGUCUGAAAAAUAUUAUGAAUAAACAAUUCAAAAUA
rnacentral:misc_RNA from 1 species